GAUGGCAGCUCAGAGGUUGAGCACCUGCUUGGCAUGCAGAAGGCCCCAGGUCAAUCCCUGGCUGCAUCU